GAUGAACGCUGGCGGCGUGCUUAACACAUGCAAGUCGAACGGAAAGGCUCCUGCUUGCAGGGGUACUCGAGUGGCGAACGGGUGAGUAACACGUGGGUGAUCUGCCCUGCACUUCGGGAUAAGCCUGGGAAACUGGGUCUAAUACCGGAUAGGACGAUGGUUUGGAUGCCAUUGUGGAAAGUUUUUUCGGUGUGGGAUGAGCUCGCGGCCUAUCAGCUUGUUGGUGGGGUAAUGGCCUACCAAGGCGUCGACGGGUAGCCGGCCUGAGAGGGUGUACGGCCACAUUGGGCCUGCGAUACGGCCCAGAAUCCUACGGGCGGCAGCAGUGGGGAAUAUUGCACAAUGGGCGCAAGCCUGAUGCAGCGACGCCGCGUGGGGGAUGACGGCCUUCGGGUUGUAAACUCCUUUCGCUAGGGACGAAGCGCAAGUGACGGUACCUGGAGAAGAAGCACCGGCUAACUACGUG
rnacentral:rRNA from 1 species